AGGGAAGCUGUUGAAAGCGUCGCCUGUUUUCCUUCAUUCUUGUAUCAGCUUGUACUAUCCCACAAUCAGCAGACAACAACAUUCAGGCAUCCUGUGACUGGACAGUUUUCUUCAGAAAACAGUGAAUACGUUCUGCGGGAGGAGCCACACCCACAUAUGUCGAAGCCAGAGAGAAACCAAAGACCGUCCAGCAUGGUCAGUGAGACAUCCACAGCUGGGACCACGUCCACCCUGGAGGCCAAGCCUGGACCCAAGAUUGUCAAGUCCAGCAGUAAAGUGCACAGCUUCGGGAAGAGGGACCAGGCCAUUCGGAGGAACCUUAAUGUUCCGGUGGUGGUGAGGGGCUGGCUACACAAGCAGGACAGCUCCGGGAUGAGGCUGUGGAAAAGACGCUGGUUUGUGCUGGCUGAUUACUGCUUGUUUUAUUAUAAAGACAGCCGAGAGGAAGCUGUUCUCGGGAGCAUCCCUCUGCCCAGCUAUGUCAUCUCCCCAGUGGCCCCAGAGGAUCGAAUAAGCCGCAAGUAUUCCUUUAAGGCUGUGCAUACGGGGAUGAGGGCACUCAUCUACAGCACCACCACAGCGGGCUCUCAGAUGGAGCACUCGGGCAUGAGGACCUACUACUUCAGUGCCGACACCCUGGAGGACAUGAACGCCUGGGUCAGGGCCAUGAACCAGGCUGCGCAGGUGCUGUCUCGCUCAUCGCUGAGGAGGGACGUGGACAAGGUGGAGCGGCAGGCCAUGCCACAGGCCAACCACACUGACGCCUGCCAAGAAUGUGGCCACGUGGGACCUGGGCACUCGAGAGACUGUCCUCGUCGAGGCUAUGAGGACUCCUAUGGCUUCAACAGGAGGGAGCAGGAGGAGGAACGCUUCCGUGCUCAAAGAGACCCACUGGAGGGCAGGAGGGACAGGAGCAAGGCCAGGUCCCCAUACUUGCCAGCUGAGGAGGAUGCCUUGUUUGUCGAUCUACCUGGUGGGCCCCGAGGCCAGCAAGCACAGCCACAGCGAGCCGAGAAGAACGGGGUGCCACCUUAUGGCCUGGGAGAACAGAAUGGGACCAAUGGGUACCAGCGGACUGCUCCUCCCAGGGCCAACCCAGAAAAACACAGCCAGAGGAAGACCGGCCUGGCCCAGGCAGAGCACUGGACAAAAGCUCAGAAGGGGGACGGCAGGAGCUUGCCCUUAGACCAAACACUUCCUCGCCAGGGUCCCAGCCAGCCCCUGUCCUUCCCGGAAAACUACCAGAGUCUUCCCAAGAGCACUAGACAUCUUUCUGGGAGCUCGUCACCCCCUCCCCGGAACCUGCCCAGCGACUACAAGUACGCACAGGACCGAGCCAGCCACCUGAAGAUGUCCAGUGAAGAGCGCCGGGCACACAGAGACGGCACUGUGUGGCAGCUCUAUGAGUGGCAGCAGAGGCAGCAGUUCCGUCACGGCAGCCCCACCGCACCCAUAGGAGCUGGCUCCCCAGAGUUCACCGAGCAGGGUCGCAGCCGGAGCCUGCUGGAGGUGCCCCGCUCCAUCUCCGUGCCUCCGUCUCCUUCUGACAUCCCUCCUCCUGGGCCUCCAAGGCCCUUUCCGCCCCGGCGGCCACAUACACCAGCAGAAAGGGUCACAGUGAAGCCACCCGAGCAGAGGAGGAGUGUGGACAUCUCUCUGGGGGGUUCUCCCAGGAAGGCACGGGGUCAUGCUGCCAAGAACUCCUCUCACGUGGACCGGCGUUCCAUGCCCUCCAUGGGCUACAUGACCCAUACAGUGAGCGCUCCCAGCUUACAUGGAAAAUCGCUGGAGGAGCUCUCGCUGCUGCUCACCCGGUUGCAGCGGCACCAGUCCAAGUUGGCCAGCGUGCGAAAUUUCGCCGUGGGCCAGUUACUACACCACUACUUGACCUUUCCCGCCUGCCAGGCUGAUGACACCUACCUCCAGCUGAAGAAGGACCUGGAGUAUCUGGAUCUGAAGAUUAAAAAUAAUGAACCUUUGAUCAACGUGCUUUACAAAGUGCUGAAGAAGUCAGCACGGGGCUGUCGGCCCGGGAGAAGCAUGACAGGCCGAGACCUUCUUAAAGAUCGAAGUCUGAAGCCCAUGAAGAUCGCCGAGAGUGACAUUGAUGUCAAGCUGAGCAUCUUCUGUGAGCAAGACAGGAUACUCCAGGACUUGGAAGACAAGAUCCGAGCUCUCAAGGAGAAUAAAGAUCAGCUAGAAUCCGUGCUGGAGGUGCUGCACAGGCAGACAGAACAGUACCGAGACCAGCCACAGCACCUGGAGAAGAUCACUUGCCAGCAGAGGCUCCUGCAGGAGGACCUCGUCCACAUCCGUGCGGAGCUCUGCAGAGAGUCCACGGAGAUGGAAAAUGCAUGGAACGAGUACCUGAAGCUGGAGAAGGAUGUGGAGCAGCUAAAGCAGACCCUGCAGGAGCAACACAGGAGAGCCUUUUUUUUCCAGGAGAAGUCUCAGAUACAGAAGGAUCUGUGGAGGAUCGAAGAUGUCAUGGCAGGCCUGAGUGCGAAUAAAGAGAACUACAGAGUCCUGGUGGGAUCUGUCAAAAAUCCAGAAAGAAAAACGGUGCCUUUGUUCCCUCACCCAUCUGUGCCUUCACUCUCUCCAACUGAGAGCAAGCCGGCCCUGCAGCCCAGCCCUCCCACCAGCCCCGUGCGGACGCCUCUGGAGGUCCGACUCUUUCCGCAGCUGCAGACCUAUGUGCCAUACCGACCUCACCCGCCCCAGCUGAGGAAAGUGAUGUCUCCUCUGCAGUCACCAACCAAGGCAAAGCCUCAGGCGGAAGACGAGGCACCUCCCAGGCCACCACUUCCUGAACUCUACAGCCCAGAGGACCAGCCCCCAGCUGUGCCACCACUGCCGAGAGAAGCCACCAUCAUUCGGCACACAUCUGUGCGUGGACUCAAACGACAGUCGGAUGAGAGGAAGAGGGACCGGGAGCAGGGCCAGUGUGUGAAUGGGGACUUGAAGGUGGAGCUCCGGUCCUACGUGAGUGAGCCAGAGCUGGCCAGCCUCAGUGGGGACGUGCCUCAGCCCUCCUUGAGCCUCGUGGGCUCUGAGAGCAGGUACCAGACGCUGCCAGGCAGAGGGCUCUCAGGCUCCACGUCCAGGCUCCAGCAGUCGUCCACCAUUGCUCCCUAUGUCACACUCCGGAGGGGGCUGAAUGCCGAAAACAGCAGUGCGACCUUCUCUAGACCCAAGAGUGCCUUGGAGCGUCUGUACUCGGGGGACCACCAGCGGGGCAAGAUGAGUGCGGAGGAACAGCUGGAGCGGAUGAAGCGGCACCAGAAGGCUCUGGUCCGAGAGCGCAAGAGGACCCUGAGCCAAGGAGAAAAGACGGGUCUGCUCUCAGCCCGAUACCUCAGCCAGCCACUGCCAGGAGAUCUCGGCUCAGUAUGUUAGGCGGGGCUGGGACAGAGGCCAGAACUUCCCCGAGUCCCCCAAGCAGACGCAAGUCCCCUGCCAGGGUGACUUACUUGGUUGACCGUCCCAAGGGGCUGCUUGUCCACAACUCCAGCCGCACGUGUGAGCUGGCCAGAGGAUGACCGGGAAACAAAGCAGUAGGGAGGUCUAGCAGCAGAGGCCUCAUCCUUUCUCCACGCUGAGUGGGAGGAGGCUCUGGGCUCAACGAAGGACUUGAGAAUGUAGGAUUCCAGUAGAGCAGAUGGGAAGGAACGGUAUGAUAUGCAACUCAACCACACAGCCUCCCAAGCAGAUCCCGCAGCCAGGGGAGGCAACUCAAUAAGGUGCUGGUGGUCUCCCACAGCCCGCGGGGCUGAGGCCUCAGGUACUCAGGAGGGCUGGGGAAAUUGGUGCUGCCCCUGGUGGCUGGCGCUGCACCUGCCCACGGUUGCCUUAGGCUCAUUGUGGGGACAUUGCAUUUGGCUUUGGGGUUUGGAGCCCCCAGUUCCCCAGCCCUCUAGCCUGACUGCUCCCUCCCUAAUUCAUUGCACAAGCUCCUACGCUUCUAGUGUCUGCGCUCAUUGCCUCUAAUCCUGCCUGAUUGUCUCUACAGACGCUCUGAAUUGGUACUGGCCCCUCUCUAACCAGCCAGUGCUGUCUCUGACCAGGCUUGUACUAGCAGCUCUUGGCUCCCUAGACUAGCAGGCAUCCCUAGGUGUUGCUUACCUUCCCACUGCCCUGCUUUGUGUAGGCCAGCUGACUGAUAAUUCACCCAUCCAAAAAGCUGCUCUGUGAGGACCACGGUCAUUAGCAGUGGUCUGGGCAUUGGGGAUUUACCGAUUCCAUCCAUGCCUUACCCUGGACAGUAAAUAUCAGCUUUAGAGAGUGCGUAGUCUGAAGCCAUUUGGUGGUAACUCCUCCUAUCCCAUCAUGCAAUUCCUUAUUGCUUUUGUAAUUCUUAUCUAGUAACUUGAAUAGAUAGCAAAAUAAACUGUAUUCAGAGGGCCUCUCUGCAGCUGUUAGUCACCAAAUGACUAGAAUAGUGUCUUUAAAAGCUAUAAACCCAUUAACUUUUAAGUAUUAUAAGUAAACAUCAGAACCCUGACUUUCUACAACCUGCUGUCUGGGAUACAGAGAGUAUUUCCGAUCCACAACUCCAAUCCUUUGUGCUUUUUCUUUGGGGGAAAAAAAGGCUUGUGUAAGUCUCGUCAGCGCCAAUAAACAUAUUGCUUCCCAUUACGGAUUGGCGUGGUUCUUCCGCAGGGUAGUUUGCAGAGUGCGGUGAACUUUUGCUGUUUGUGGAAGCAAUCAGGCUGGGUUUAAAUGAGGACUUGUCUCUUUUUGAGCACUUGUGAGCGUGUAAGGAAUUGUGUGUUUUCUUUGUGAACCAUUAAAUUUAUCCCUGGACUUCAGUUGCCUAAGUCAUCCAAACUGUAAUUGGAAAACCAUCAGCACACACAAUUCUGUUGGUUUGCUACGGAGGACCCGAGCUUGUGCAUGAAUGUGUGGAGCGUGCUGACAUGGCGACAGGAUCGGGUCGGGGUGGUUGUGAGGUAUCUUUGGCUGCUGGGGUACUGUGAGAUGAAUGGAGUGAGAGAGAGGAGGUGACCUGAGGCAUUAAGUAUCGUCUCAUCCUCACAAGAGAGUCCUUUGUUCUUUUAAGGUCAGAGGUCUGAAGUGAACAGGAAGCCAUCUUGGAACUGCGCACACGUGCCUGGGUAGAUUUUUCCCUCCUGGGAAGAGACAUUGAUACAAAGUUGCCACUGUGAAACAGCCUUGGAGCAAUUCCCUCUGAUCUCACUUUUAGUUUGUUUUCUAUUUUAAGGAAACUGUCUUAUCUCAAAUGGUUAUCAUUUUCCACGGCAGUUUGCAACACUGGUGGUCAACCAACUCCUUGGUACUGAUUGGAACUCUCUACCAAUUGCUGGGUCCCUGUGGACCACUGUAGGCUUAAAGUCAUGGGUCUUCCUCCAGGACCCUACGGAUGCACAUUUGAAUACUCAGAGGUCCUAGAUCAGAGCACAGCCAGCAGUGUGGAAGAGGCCACAGGACGAAGGCAGAGGCCAGUUUUCAGUUACACACACACACACACACGCACACACACACACACACACACACACACACACACACAACACAGCUAUGACACUUGCCUAAUGUCUCAAAAGUCCGUCUUCCCAGGUCCUUAGGCCUCAGGGCCCUGUGUGGUUCUUGAAUGGGUCGGAAAGUGAGGUUAACCCUCUCCUCUGUUGCCAGUGGAAGCGAGAACAAGAGUUUGACCUGCAGCUGCUGGAACGGGCUGCUCAGGGGGACAGAAAAGACAAAGAGGAGGGCUGGCUGAAAGUGCAAGCCACACCUGUCAUGGAGUUGGACCUGGAGCCACAAGACUAUGACUUGGACAUCAGCAGAGAGCUGUCUAAACCAGAGAAGGUCUCCAUCCCCGAGCGAUAUGUGGAACUAGACCCCGAGGAACCACCCAGCCUGGAGGAGCUGCAGGCACGGUACCAAAAGGCGGAGAAGAUACGGAAUAUCCUUGCCCGGUCAAGCAUGUGCAACCUGCAGCCACUGGGCCAGGACCGCAACAGCCUGGCCGACCUGGACUCGCAGCUGCAGGAGCAGGAACGGAUAAUCAACAUUUCCUAUGCCCUGGCCUCUGAGGCCUCGAAGCGCAGCAAACAGGUAGCAGUGCAGCAGCUGGCCCUCCUCCCGCCUAAAGCCCCCCUGUCCUCCAGGACGGUGCCACCUUACCCCCCCUUAAGCAACGGACUGCACUACACCUUUGUCUAACACCUUCCAACCCAGGCAAUAACAGACCCAUGAUCCAGUGUGCAGAGGAGAAGCCUGGAGCCGGGGACCCAGCGAAACCAGCGUCUUCUUGGAGUAUGGUUCUCUCUGCCCCAGUGGAAACCCUUCCAGCUGAGCGGGGGCUCUGGCUGGAGGAGAGCAACCCACCCACCAUGGUGGGUGCAGCCUGGAACCAGGGCUCCAUCCUAACACACGCCCAUGCUUUUCAGUCCAGAUACCUUUUGACAGAUGACAGAAGCACUUUUGAUACAUGAUGUGAAAUAUACUGUAUUUUAGAAUCAGAAUAUAUUUUAUAAUGCUCACCUGGAGGACUGAAUGGCUGGUAAGGUGAGCCUGCAGGGGUUUGUAGCCACACAUAGGGAUUCAGGUACUAUGGGGGUGGGGUGGCAGAGUGAGUGGGGAGAGGGGCAAGGCAAGCAGGGCCAUUUCUACCCUCCCGUGAACCCAGACAGUGCAGGGUUCAAGGCUAUGCUUCCUGUGGAUUCCAGUAUGGAGCUCAUUACGCUGUCCAGGAAAUUAACUGCAGAGGUCCGCAUCCCUGAACCGAUGCCCAACCCUGGAAACUGCACCUGGAUGGCCGCACGGAGCCCGUCUGUGCCUCGGCCCUUGAUUCUGACUGAGGAGCAGCCGUGUGCUCGAAAGCCUUGGCUUCUUCAGCUGUCGGUGAAGUGAAGUUCUCUCAGCAGACACUUCUCAGAAGAAAGAAAAAAGCCACUGUGAGGUGGAAAGCGAGAUGUGUUAAAGCAAUAACUGGGCAUUGGGUGGCAUCUGCUUACAAAUGCCUAGCCUUGAGCCAUCCCUCCAGCCAGGCUGUACUAAAGGACCUCUGCUGCCUGCUGUGGGGAAACCCAGGACAGUUUCCUCUGACUAGGUCUGGUGAGGUGGGCAGGCAGGGCCAGGACACAGGAUUGUGACUUGACUCCAGCCCAGCUGAGGAAGAGGUGGCCAUGCCAGACUCAGUGUUUUGUCCCUUUAUUUAACUUGUCUCAAGAUAUUCUACAUGCAGGAAGCAGUGAAAACCAUAAACACCUUCACUGGGUGGAGCCGCAUUUUAAACGAAAAUUUGUCUUUGACUAUGCUUACAAGAA